rnacentral:rRNA from 1 species
GACGAACCGUGCGAACGUUGUUCGGAAUCACGGGGCUUAAAGGGCGCGUAGGCGGGCUACCAAGUCUGUGGUGAAAUCCUCCGGCUCAACCGGAGAACGGCCGUGGAUACUGGGAGCCUCGAGGGAGAUAGGGGCAGGCGGAACUGAUGGUGGAGCGGUGAAAUGCGUUGAUAUCAUCAGGAACUCCGGUGGCGAAGGCGGCCUGCUGGAUCUCAUCUGACGCUGAUGCGCGAAAGCCAGGGGAGCAAACGGG